AACACUUAACGACUCUGCUCAAAAUGAAUGUGGUGGCUACAGAUCAGGGCAAUCUGGGGAGAUUUUAUCCCCAAACCAUCCUGGAUCCUACGACAACAACCUGGUCUGUACGUGGACAAUAGUGGUCAACCCAAGAGGAUAUAUAAGGCUUAAACCUAAGAUUUUUAUCCUUGAAAGAUCGCGUGACUACUUAAGAGUCUACGACGGUGAUCUUGGAUUCAACGGCACACUACUAGGAAGUUACACUGAGGACGUCAUCCCUGAUGAAAUCAUUUCCGCAUCCAACAUUAUGUCGCUUGUCCUCACCACUGACUUUCAUCAGGGCUAUACCGGUUUUAAGAUUCGCUUUGAAGGUAAAAUGAUUAAGAUACAUUUGGCAUAUUUACAGCAUACAAUAGCCUAACCUACUUCACUCUUUCCCUGCUGCCACUCUUGAUC